ensembl:lncRNA
CGCCGCUCCCCAUCUGCCCAGGAUCCAGCCUAUUAGAGGGGCAGCAAUGGGUAAAAAUGAAUUCCUGGAGUAGACAGAACCCUCUGCAAAUGUGUGCAGAUGAACCUGGGGAUCUCUCCCCAGCCUGUGACAGUAGCACCUCCAACCGCGUGCUCCUGUUGUGUGCCAUUAUCUCCUGUUUCCUUAACCUAGAGCUCUCUCUUUUCUUUUUCCUGAGUGCAGCAGGCACCUCAAUCAUCUGUUACGUGGCUUUGAUCCAGCAAUUGGAGACGUGCUGUGGAGUAAUCCUCAGAAAACCUGGGGUAAUGGGAUGGGGAGAGGACACAGUGCUACAUUAAUAUUACAUAUUAAUAUUACUACGUAUGAUCUCCACUUUCCUUUCACAUUUGAGGGCCCAACCAACCAGCACAAAGCAACAGUUGAAGAAGUAGAAAAGGUGCACUUUGGAAACAUCAUUAAUGGCACGGGAAGGCUUGUGGGCCGGUGUAUGAGGCCAGGAGGAGAUGGCACAAAGGGAGAUCCCAUGAGCAGCUGAGAGAAUUCGGACAGAUGUGUGAAGCUGAGGUGGGUGCGUUCCUCCCUGACCCAUGCUGUAUCCCUUAAGCCAUCUCAACUGCUCCUUAGAAGCAGUGAUCAUUAAACAUUUGCCAAGUUGAUUUUGCUCUGCAUCUCUGAAUGUGAAGGGUGACUGUGGUUUGGUCCUAACAGCUGCGUGAGCCCAGAGGGAGCAGAUCAUCCCUUGGAAUAGUCAGCGCUGAACCUCCUUAAGUGAUGCAGGGGAGGUCACUUCAGGUGACAUCUGCUCUGGUCUCUGGGGCAACACUUCUCACAAGAAACAGGACUUGAGAUUUGCAAUUUCACACUGUUGUGCAAGGUUCUCAUGGUGUUGCAUGAAGUGGGGGAAAGGAUAUUAGAAUGCUGGUAGAGUCCAUGAGACAGAGUCAUCAUCUUCAAGGUGACGACGAUACAGAUUUCUGAGGAUACUGGGAGCUGAACAGCAAGAUCAUCAAAGCAAUUGUAACGUUUAUGGCCUCUCAAUUCUCCAGGAGUAUAUGGAGGUACAGACACAGUGCUAUUACCUUGGGGAAACCAUUAAAGGUUGCUUCGUGCUAUGCUAAGGACUUUUAUUCAUCAAGAGUAAUUACCUCUAUCUUGAUAAGAAGUGAGAAGAUGACAGUAAGAACUACUGUGUCACAUCAGGUGCCUCUGAAAAUCUCCAAGUAAUGCUCGUAGAGAGGUGAUGGUGGCAGCAGCAUCACUACCUCAGCUGGAAUGAGAGCUCCAGAAUUAUUGUGGGCAUAUCCCAAGGUUUCAGCUAGCAAGAACCCUGGUGGGUCUACCUGGCAUUGUCUACUCCAUUGGACUCCCAGAAGCUGCUCUGCCAUCUGUCCGUACCCUGAAUAUCAUCGGCCUGUUAUAAGCACAAGUCAGAGCGACUACAAAGAAGAAACGAAGGAAGAAAUGCAUCUGGGCUUGUAUCCAAUUGGAUUACUGUCAACCUCAUCCAGCUGAGAAGGGAAAAGACAGAUGUACUGAUGGUCACCGAAAUGAGAUGGAACAAAAGACAACAACCUGAGCAGAGACGAAAAGCAGUCAAGACCAAAGGUUUCUUCGACUCCAAACCACAGCCACGUCUCCAUCAUACAGACCAUCCUUUGCAACUUCAGCUUGUGUCAAACAUCCCCUUUGGCAAAACAGCUCUUGCAAUGGAGCUAUCUCCACGUGUCUGCCUUCCACCACCCACGAGACACUGACCUCCAUCGGUCCCCAGCCCUGCUUCCUCACUGUGGGAAUCAACCAAGGAUUGACAUUGACCAUCCUCCUCAUUGUGGAAGUCAACCAAGAAUUUACACUGGCCAUCAUCCCCACUGUGGGAGUCAACCAAGGAUUGACAAUGACCAUCUUCCUCACUGUGGGAAUCAACCGAGGGUUGACACUGGACAUCCUCCUCACCAUCGGAAUCAAUCAAGGAUUAAUAUUGGCCAUCAUCUUCAUCAUGGGAGUCAAUUAAGGACUGACACUGACCAUCCUCCUCACCAUGGGAAUCAACGAAGGAUUGACAUUGGCCAUCCCACAGGAAGAGUCCUUGAUGAAAUCUCAUCACUCAGUGCCCCUUGGUACGAGUGUGGGCUGGAGCAGAGCUGGCAGAGGCCAGGAGGGGACUGGAGCUGCUAAGAAGCAAGCAAUUGCAUGGAUGAGGUGCUGG